rnacentral:rRNA from 1 species
AGGCUUAACACAUGCAAGUCGAGGGGCAUCAGGAAGAAAGCUUGCUUUCUUUGCUGGCGACCGGCGCACGGGUGAGUAACACGUAUCCAACCUGCCCUUUACUCGGGGAUAGCCUUUCGAAAGAAAGAUUAAUACCCGAUGGCAUAAUGAUUCCGCAUGGUUUCAUUAUUAAAGGAUUCCGGUCAAGGAUGGGGAUGCGUUCCAUUAGGUUGUUGGUGAGGUAACGGCUCACCAAGCCUUCGAUGGAUAGGGGUUCUGAGAGGAAGGUCCCCCACAUUGGAACUGAGACACGGUCCAAACUCCUACGGGAGGCAGCAGUGAGGAAUAUUGGUCAAUGGGCGCUAGCCUGAACCAGCCAAGUAGCGUGAAGGAUGAAGGCUCUAUGGGUCGUAAACUUCUUUUAUAUAAGAAUAAAGUGCAGUAUGUAUACUGUUUUGUAUGUAUUAUAUGAAUAAGGAUCGGCUAACUCCGUGCCAGCAGCCGCGGUAAUACGGAGGAUCCGAGCGUUAUCCGGAUUUAUUGGGUCUAAAGGGAGCGUAGGUGGACUGGUAAGUCAGUUGUGAAAGUUUGCGGCUCAACCGUAAAAUUGCAGUUGAUACUGUCAGUCUUGAGUACAGUAGAGGUGGGCGGAAUUCGUGGUGUAGCGGUGAAAUGCUUAGAUAUCACGAAGAACUCCGAUUGCGAAGGCAGCUCACUGGACUGCAACUGACACUGAUGCUCGAAAGUGUGGGUAUCAAACAGGAUUAGAUACCCUGGUAGUCCACACAAUAAACGAUGAAUACUCGCUGUUUGCGAUAUACAGUAAGCGGCCAAGCGAAAGCAUUAAGUAUUCCACCUAGGGAGUACGCCGGCAACGGUGAAACUCAAAGGAAUUGACGGGGGCCCGCACAAGCGGAGGAACAUGUGGUUUAAUUCGAUGAUACGCGAGGAACCUUACCCGGGCUUAAAUUGCAGUGGAAUGAUGUGGAAACAUGUCAGUGAGCAAUCACCGCUGUGAAGGUGCUGCAUGGUUGUCGUCAGCUCGUGCCGUGAGGUGUCGGCUUAAGUGCCAUAACGAGCGCAACCCUUAUCUUUAGUUACUAACAGGUUAUGCUGAGGACUCUAGAGAGACUGCCGUCGUAAGAUGUGAGGAAGGUGGGGAUGACGUCAAAUCAGCACGGCCCUUACGUCCGGGGCUACACACGUGUUACAAUGGGGGGUACAGAAGGCAGCUAGCGGGUGACCGUAUGCUAAUCCCAAAAGCCUCUCUCAGUUCGGAUCGAAGUCUGCAACCCGACUUCGUGAAGCUGGAUUCGCUAGUAAUCGCGCAUCAGCCACGGCGCGGUGAAUACGUUCCCGGGCCUUGUACACACCGCCCGUCAAGCCAUGGGAGCCGGGGGUACCUGAAGUACGUAACCGCAAGGAUCGUCCUAGGGUAAAACUGGUGACUGGGGCUAA